GGAGUCUGGGCCGUAUCUCAGUCCCAAUGCGUCCGUUCGCCCUCUCAGGCCGGAUACCCGUCGCGGCCUUGGUGGUCCCUUGCACCGCCAACAAGCUGAUGGGUCGCGGGCCGCUCCCCCGGCGGAACCGAAGCUCCUUUGAUGCCCGUCCUCCAAGACGGGCAUGCCAUGGGGUAUUACCCCGUGUUUCCACGGGCUGUCCCCCUCCGGAGGGCGCGUCGCCCACGCGUUCCUCGCCAGUCCGCCGCUCUCAUGGGGAGCAAGCCCCCCAAUCCCGCUCGACUUGCAUGCUUAAGACGCGCCGCCAGCGUUCGUU
rnacentral:rRNA from 1 species